GUUGCCAGAUGGGUAGUGAUGUG
rnacentral:miRNA from 1 species